rnacentral:tRNA from 1 species
GCUAACUUAGCACAAUCGGUGGUGCAUCUGUCUUGUAAACAGAAGGUCGUAAGUUCGAUUCUUACAGUUAGCA